UGGACUCCCGUCAGAGCGAAUAAAUCCUUCGCCUUUUACUAAAGAUUUCCGUGGCGGAGGUCAACUCA